rnacentral:lncRNA from 1 species
CGCGGCUGCAGAGGGACAUCUUUCAAGAACAGGCGCCGGCCUCGGCGUCCGCCGCGCAGUUAGGAAACUGACUGUCGCUCUCUCCGGCCUCGGCGCUGCUUCGGACGCCCCGGCACCGGCCCCCGUUGCUUUGUAGCAUUCUGCAGCUGGGCUGCAGGCGCCGUGGGCCUCCGCCAGUUGUGUUCGAGACGCGGUUCGGCCACAGAAGUUUUAGCUUGUGACUUUUGGCAAGUCAGUGGCCCUCUCUGGGCCUCAGGUGCCUUUUUUGCUGUGAGACCAGCGACUGUAUUUUUAACCCUGAUUUUAUCCCUAGAUCUACCCAACACAUAGUAGGUGCUCAAAAGAUAUUUAUGAGUGAAUGAAUGCAUCAUGAGAAGAAAUUGGACCAGAUGAGGCCCUGUGAAGCUGCUUGGGUCUUUUUUUGUUCUUUUUUUUUUCUCUCUUCUGAGUGUCCCUGGCCUGGACUAGAAAUUCUCCAUCCUUCGGCCUUCUGCGAGACUGCAGGAACAUUACUUUUGAAGGAUGCUAAGGAAUCCGAGGGAUGAAAAAAAUCAAGAGAUUGCAAUGAUGUCACAAAACAAGGAAACAAGGCAGGAAGUUCUUGUGUGUUUUUUUGCGGGAGAGAGUCCAUGUGCAGCAUCUUCACUCCGAAGCAGAAAUUUGCCAAAAAAGCAUCCUCUUUUUAUCAGAAAAUAAAAUAUCCUGGUUUCUUAGCCUGGCAUUCUUGGAUCCCCACAGUUUGAUCCCAACCGACAACUCCUUAUUUGAAACUUCAGAUUCUCCCAAACCGUCACCUUCCUCGUGGACUUAAUCCUGGAAGGCCCUUCUACCCCACUUCGCCUUAUCUCACACAAACACAGUCUCUCUCUGACUGAGAUAAACUUGAACACUUCUUUUCUUUUCUUUUUUUUUUUCUUUAAAUUUCGGGUUUCAAAAUACAAAUGGCCUAAUCACAACAUUUCUGUAAUGUUGUCUAAAUUCAGGUACUGGUUUGAAUAGAGGACAAAAAUAAAACAAGGUUUGAAGACUAAGUACUUUAAAAACAUAUUUAUUUAAAUAGAGGCAGGGCCUCCCUAUGUUGCCCAGGCUGCUCUCAAACUCCUGGCCUCAAAAGUGAUCCUUGGGCUGGGCGUGGUGGCUCACGCCUGUAA